rnacentral:rRNA from 1 species
ACUCCUACGGGAGGCAGCAGUGGGGAAUAUUGCACAAUGGGCGCAAGCCUGAUGCAGCCAUGCCGCGUGUAUGAAGAAGGCCUUCGGGUUGUAAAGUACUUUCAGCAGUGAGGAAGGUGGGUGUGUUAAUAGCGCAUACUUCAUUGACUGUAGCUGCAGAAGAAGCACCGGCUAACUCCGUGCCAGCAGCCGCGGUAAUACGGA